UUAAUGUUCUACAUAGUUAUGUAAGUACCGGGACUAAUGACAUGUUUGGAAACUUCUAGAAUAGAGGAAUCAUGCUUGUAAUUUAGAUGCUACAACUAUUAGCUUUUGAAAAUCACAUUUGAAACGUGAAAUCAAACAUGUUAUAAAUCGAUUACGUUAGGAAAGUCAUUCCAUCUUGCUGGCUUUUGCUCUCCUGAAUAAUCAUUAAAUUUGGAGACAAAAUUGAACCCUAGCAGGUCCGGUGCCGCCAUGGCCCUUUAAGAAGUCUCCUCUCCAGGGCUUCAAAUACGAUUUGCCCUUGGAGCUUCCUCGCAUCACCCCCCAAGCCCGCAGCCCCAUCAGACCUCUCCCUCCCAUCCUGUGCCUCCACCCUCUCACCCAAAAUCCCUCACACAAAUCAUAAAAAACUCCUUCUCCUUCCUCUCAAUCGUCUCCCUAAGCCAUGCCUAAAAGGGGAUCCAUUAGCCAUUAAGAUCUCUAAGUCAGAGUACCAAGCUGGUUGGGCAGAUUGCAAAAACAUCCUUCAUGGAAGGUUUUUUCUCUCAAAAGGGGAUGUUCCUAUCAAGAUUUGGGGACCUGUGGGCCAAGUUCUUGACCCUGUGGAAGCCCAUUGACCCCUAGUCCAUUGUUCUGCUUUGAAAGGGCUUUUACGAAAUUGUUUUCUUCUCUGAUGAAGAUCUGUGAAGUGUACGAUCUAUGGGAACUUGGAAUAAUCUGAACCCUAGUGUGAUUUGCCUUUUAGCAUGGACUUAGGACUUCAAUCCAGGGACCAAUAAAGUCUUUCUUCGGGGAGUUGUUGGUGCUGAUGGUCUUUGCUCCUUUCAUAAUCUCAAGCUUCAAGAACAUUUUUCACUGUUGUUGUUUACUUCAACUUCACUAGUUAGCUCUGCUACACAUAAUGGCUUGUCUAGUGCAAUUACUGCUGCUAGUAAAAGUCCUAAUGUAGUUUCUAAUUCUGUAAUUUCAUCCCCUAGCAAUGUUAGCUUGUGGCAUGCUAGGCUGGGUCACCCUAAUAGCCCAUGUCAUGAAGCUAGUCAAUCAUUGUAACAUUUCCUCAUCUAAUAAAAAUUUCCAGACUUUUGCUCCUCA